rnacentral:rRNA from 1 species
ACGCUGGCGGCGUGCUAAUACAUGCAAGUCGAACGCACAGCGAAAGGUGCUUGCACCUUUCAAGUGAGUGGCGAACGGGUGAGUAACACGUGGACAACCUGCCUCAAGGCUGGGGAUAACAUUUGGAAACAGAUGCUAAUACCGAAUAAAACUUAGUGUCGCAUGACACAAAGUUAAAAGGCGCUUUGGCGUCACCUAGAGAUGGAUCCGCGGUGCAUUAGUUAGUUGGUGGGGUAAAGGCCUACCAAGACAAUGAUGCAUAGCCGAGUUGAGAGACUGAUCGGCCACAUUGGGACUGAGACACGGCCCAAACUCCUACGGGAGGCUGCAGUAGGGAAUCUUCCACAAUGGGCGAAAGCCUGAUGGAGCAACGCCGCGUGUGUGAUGAAGGCUUUCGGGUCGUAAAGCACUGUUGUAUGGGAAGAACAGCUAGAAUAGGGAAUGAUUUUAGUUUGACGGUACCAUACCAGAAAGGGACGGCUAAAUACGUGCCAGCAGCCGCGGUAAUACGUAUGUCCCGAGCGUUAUCCGGAUUUAUUGGGCGUAAAGCGAGCGCAGACGGUUGAUUAAGUCUGAUGUGAAAGCCCGGAGCUCAACUCCGGAAUGGCAUUGGAAACUGGUUAACUUGAGUGCAGUAGAGGUAAGUGGAACUCCAUGUGUAGCGGUGGAAUGCGUAGAUAUAUGGAAGAACACCAGUGGCGAAGGCGGCUUACUGGACUGUAACUGACGUUGAGGCUCGAAAGUGUGGGUAGCAAACAGGAUUAGAUACCCUGGUAGUCCACACCGUAAACGAUGAACACUAGGUGUUAGGAGGUUUCCGCCUCUUAGUGCCGAAGCUAACGCAUUAAGUG